rnacentral:rRNA from 1 species
AGUUUGAUCCUGGCUCAGGAUGAACGCUGGCGGCGUGCUUAACACAUGCAAGUCGAACGAUGAUCUCCAGCUUGCUGGGGGGAUUAGUGGCGAACGGGUGAGUAACACGUGAGUAACCUGCCCUUGACUCUGGGAUAAGCCUGGGAAACUGGGUCUAAUACCGGAUACGACCGCUCCACGCAUGUGGUGGUGGUGGAAAGCUUUUGCGGUUUUGGAUGGACUCGCGGCCUAUCAGCUUGUUGGUGGGGUAAUGGCCUACCAAGGCGACGACGGGUAGCCGGCCUGAGAGGGUGACCGGCCACACUGGGACUGAGACACGGCCCAGACUCCUACGGGAGGCAGCAGUGGGGAAUAUUGCACAAUGGGCGGAAGCCCGAUGCAGCGACGCCGCGUGAGGGAUGACGGCCUUCGGGUUGUAAACCUCUUUCAGUAGGGAAGAAGCGUAAGUGACGGUACCUGCAGAAGAAGCGCCGGCUAACUACGUGCCAGCAGCCGCGGUAAUACGUAGGGCGCAAGCGUUAUCCGGAAUUAUUGGGCGUAAAGAGCUCGUAGGCGGUUUGUCGCGUCUGCUGUGAAAGACCGGGGCUCAACUCCGGUUCUGCAGUGGGUACGGGCAGACUAGAGUGAUGUAGGGGAGACUGGAAUUCCUGGUGUAGCGGUGAAAUGCGCAGAUAUCAGGAGGAACACCAAUGGCGAAGGCAGGUCUCUGGGCAUUAACUGACGCUGAGGAGCGAAAGCAUGGGGAGCGAACAGGAUUAGAUACCCUGGUAGUCCAUGCCGUAAACGUUGGGCACUAGGUGUGGGGGACAUUCCACGUUUUCCGCGCCGUAGCUAACGCAUUAAGUGCCCCGCCUGGGGAGUACGGCCGCAAGGCUAAAACUCAAAGGAAUUGACGG